GACGAACGCUGGCGGCGUGCUUAACACAUGCAAGUCGAACGGAAAGGCCCUGCUUUUGUGGGGUGCUCGAGUGGCGAACGGGUGAGUAACACGUGAGUAACCUGCCCUUGACUUUGGGAUAUCUUCAGGAAACUGGGGCUAAUACCGGAUAGGAGCUCCUGCUGCAUGGUGGGGGUUGGAAAGUUUCGGCGGUUGGGGAUGUACUCGCGGCUUAUCUGCUUGUUGGUGGGGUAGUGGCUUACCAAGGCUUUGACGGGUAGCCGGCCUGAGAGGGUGACCGGCAACAUAGGGACUGAGAAACGGCCCAGAGGCAGACGGGAGGCAGGAGGGGGGAAGAUGGAAAAAAGGGCGGAAGCAGGAUGGAGAAACGCCGGGUGGGGGAGGACGGCCUUCGGGUGGUAAACAGAUUUCGCCUGUGACGAAGCGUGAGUGACGGUAAUGGGUAAAGAAGCACCGGCUAACUACGU
rnacentral:rRNA from 1 species